ensembl:lncRNA
GUAGAUGGGAGUUCAGCUCCUUUUUCUCAGAUGUUAUCCCAGGAUAAAUGACAGCUGAGGUCUGCCAAAUACAGGUUGCUGGGAGGUUAAUGUCCAAGGAUUUUCUGUUCCCCAUUGUCCCUCGGUCGCCCUUCACGAUGUCAGGCUGAUUGCCAGGCUGAUGUGUGUGCUCUGCCUGCAGGUGGUGCAGAUGCUAUGGAUAAAGCAUUACCCAGGGGAUCUGUUACAGAGUGCUCUACAUCCACAUGUUGCAGAAGAACGUUUGCUGUCUCAUCCAUUGGAAAGACUCUCCCAGAGCAAAGCAGCCACAGUGAAUGCAUUUCUAACUUCGGUGUGCAAAUGGAGAUGCUGCUGUCGGGGUUCAGCCCACGGGAGUGUGGUACGGCUGCAAAGAAGAGCAUGGACUCAAAGUGUCACUGUGCAGUGCGGCUGCUGAGACUGUGGGGUGAAAGCAUGCUGGAUUGGAGGUGCUGGGAGAAAGCACAAGCAGUCCUUCAAGAUGAGGUAGGAGGGAUGGCAGUAACAGAAGAGCACAGCUGAAUCUCAAGAUCUCGAGCAAGAAUAGCAGCAGUUUGAGCAUUUAAAUAUGCCUUUGCCAUGCUGGAGCAUUCCAAGCAGUGUGUGCUUCAAGUUUGGUAAGUAUCAAGUAAAUAUCAGACUGUUCUUUUUUCAGAUUGUACUAGAUGUACUUUCUAGAUGUACUAGACAGAGAGCAAGCAGGAGGGAUACAGGUGAGCACUUGUCCACCUCUUGUACCUGAAAUGGAUCACUGUCAUACAUCAAAUUUGCCUUUCUUGGGCUCAGAUACAAAUUGUUUCAUUGGUCAACUCCAGUUCCCAUUAAAGCCAAAUAUGAUAAAUUCAAAGCUUUAAAUAAUCACAAGUGCAUCCAAGUGACCACAGGCCUGCAAGGUUACAAGGGCUUAACCACUGAGAAACCCUGCCUGACAGCCAUCUGUUGGUACUUGCAUUGUGAAGCUGAGAAAGAUGCUCAUUUACAAAAUGAAAAAAGCUACUUACUCCACAAAAGUUUUGUUCUGGGUUUCAUCAGAAAUACUGCAAAGUCAGAAACAACAAAGUACCGCAUGAUUUAGCUGCUAUGGCUCGUCUAACCUACAAAUUACUAGUUUUCCUAUGACUUGCAUGUCACGUUCAAAAUGCUCUGAUUUCUGCUCCAGGGGACAUGGCAGCUUUAAAUCAAUGAAACAGCCCACCCAGAGAGGCAGCAGCAGCAGCAGGGUUCUGUUGCAGCCUGCUCCAGGCUCCCUGGAUGCUGCACUCAUGUCCCAUGGAGCUGACAUGGCUGCAGCCCACGGGCUCUGAGCAGCCUCUUCUACUACAGAAGGAGCUGUAGGGCAAAAAGGAGAGAUCGAGCCUCCCACAUCUCUUUCUGCAGACAGAUUCCUUGGCUGUUAGUUUCAUAUUGGAGGAUUGGAAAUGGAGAUGAUGUUGAAGGAGAGAAGCCAUUGAAAAAGUAUUGAAUGCCACUAGUAUUUCUGAUCUGAUGCAAAAAUGAGGUCAGUUGUGAGGGAGUAAACUAAAGAAAGAAGGAAAUUUAAAGAUCCAAUGGUAAAUAUACCGAAGGUGGUGGAACAUAACAAGUUAAUAAACUCAAAGGGAUAAUUUAAUUCGACACCAAGAAUAUGUGUCUGUGUGCCCUACAGAGUAGGUAAGGAUUUGACAUGACAAGAUGGGAAGGUUUUGUUAUCCUCUUGUCUUGCUGGGAUUUGCUUCAAUUAUGCCAAAGAAUGUUACUUCAUUCUUGCCCUAAUAACACUGUAGAAGAAAUUAAAUUACUCAUAUGUAACAAAAGUGAACUGAUUUUGACAUCUCUUCGAGGCAAAACUCCCUCUGUGCUAGCUCCUAAGCACAUUCUCCUUCACUUAAGGUCUCAUGCAUAUGUAUGAUUAUCACUCAUAGUAAAUAUAAGCACUUUGCGAGAACACAAAUUAACUGCAGAAUGUAAUGGAGGUUGCCAAGGGUAUUUUUUAUUGUUGACUGUAAUACGAAGUCUACAAUAUGGGUACGAUAAUGAAUGGGUCAUGAAACAUGCAGAAAUAAUCCCAUCAAAGGAUGCUGUGACAUCAGAAACCACAACAGCAAAACUGAUGUCACUAGAAUCCCAAGCUACUUUUAUUGAGCUUUUAUUGCAUUUCAUUUUAAGAGAAGCUUCGGUUUGACUUGAAGGUUUUCUUUAUAUUUUUGUAACGCUUUGAUUGGAGGAAGAAACAAUUAAAGACAGUGGAGCUAAGAAAAAAAUAAUUCUAUUUUUUAAGGCUGACAGACCUCAGCUUUUGGUUUCAGCUAUAUUAAUAAUAGUGGGUUGUCUUCAAUCUGAUUGCUUUUUCUUAGUGUUUGAUUGUCUUUCAUUAUAUUGGCUGCGUUUGGGGAAGUUUUUUAUCAUAAAUUUAGCCUCCAGGAAUAAACCUUCCAACCUUGCAACUAAAGUUGAAUCCUGCAUGGCACAGCCUAUUGUCUCAACGAUCUGCUGUUCCAGGCUUUCAUUAGGAGGAAAAUAACAUGUCCCCGACUAUGUAGCAUUUAAAACAAGAAAAGCUUUAUUUUUAAAACCCAUUUCUUUUCCCAGCCUAUUCUGAAUACAGCUAUCAACCUUUUGUUCUUUUGAGAAAACAACAUUUUACCUGACCUUUUUCAGACUGAUCUUUAUUCGGAUCCUCCCCCCCAGGACCUCAGUACCUCCACCCUCCAGGAGGCAUUCUGCUGCUGCUGUGUCUUUAGGGCAGAUGCACGACUUAACCUCCUGUGAACUGUUGUCCUAAACAGCAAAGGCCAGUUUUGAGAUGGAUUUUCCUGAACCGUUUUUCUGUCUUGAGCCUCAAGUCUUUU